GCGGGUGUAGCUCAAUGGUAGAGCUCCAGCUUCCCAAGCUGGUCACGUGGGUUCGAUUCCCAUCACCCGCUCCA
rnacentral:tRNA from 1 species